UACGAAGGGGGCUAGCGUUGCUCGGAAUCACUGGGCGUAAAGGGCGCGUAGGCGGCUCAGUAAGUCGGGUGUGAAACCCUCAGGCUCAACCUGGGGACGCCACUCGAUACUGCUGUGGCUAGAGUCCAGUAGGGGAGUGUGGAAUUCCCGGUGUAGCGGUGAAAUGCGCAGAUAUCGGGAGGAACACCAGCGGCGAAGGCGGCACUCUGGGCUGGUACUGACGCUGAGGAGCGAAAGCGUGGGGAGCGAACAGG
rnacentral:rRNA from 1 species